rnacentral:lncRNA from 1 species
GGAGAUGAAGAAAGAGUUCAGUCACCCUGCUGAGGAGAGAAAAGGCCAUUAUUGUCAAAAGAAGGCACCUGUCCUAGAUUUAAGGGAGGUGCGUUAUCCUGGAUGGUUUCUAGGCCUCAGUGGGAUGGUCUGAUGACUUCGUCUCACCCCCCAGGUACCUAGGAAGGUGAUGAAUGUGAAGGUGGAUUCUUCAUGGAGCUCCACACUCAGGAUCUGAUCUGUGACCCGGGGCCACGUGCUGGGAUCAGCUCUUUACACGAAGGAGCUCACUGACUCCCCUGGAUCCCCUUGCCAGGUCGCACCUCCCAUCAAGGAAGAUGUCCAGAUUGCUGUCUGACGUCUGGUCUCUGGACUGAAGGCCAUUUAGUGCAGAUCUCACAAAUGAUGGUGGGGCAAGGCAGGGGGUAUGCAUGAGUGGCAUGGGCAAGGUGUGAGUUGGGGGAUACAAAAGGGAGUGGUGGAGGACGGGCACGGUGGCUCACACCUGUAAUCCCAGCACUUUGGGAGGCCAAUGUGGGCGAAUCACCUGAGGUCAGGAGUUCAGGGCCAGUCUGAUAGCCUGAGCAACAUGGAGAAACCCCGCCUCUAAUAAAAAAUACAAAAAUUAGUGAAGCCGACUUGACCAGCAGGUGGCUGUUGUGUGGCCUCUCAGGAGGACGCCCUCUCCCUUCCCCCAGUGGUUGCAAAAUACUUCAGAAAGAAAACCAAAGUUCUCUGUGGGUGCAGUCGGUUGUUUCAGAAGCUGACGGAGCCUGGUCUUUGUAUAACCCCAUCUUUCCCCUUUCUUUCUGUCAACUGUUUAUGGGAGGAUUCUCAAACUGUUCUGGAGAAUGUUUCUACCCUUUAGUUCUAGUGUUGGGUGACCUGUAAUUUUCAUGUUGGCUGGGGAUGCCAGGAGUUGGCAGAGGCUCCUUCCAGAGCCCCUGUGGACUGAAUUCUGCCACUUCCGUAAAAUCAUUUAAAAGUAGAGGGUGAGUCAAGUGCAGUAGCUCACAUCUGUAAUCCCAGCACCUUGAGAGGCCAAGGCAGGCAGAUACCCUGAGGUCAGGAGUUCAAGAUCACCCUGGCCAACAUGGUGAGACCCUGUCUCUACUAAAAAAUUUAAAAAUGAGCUAGAUGUGGUGGCCCACGCCUGUGGUCCUA